AGAACCCCAGCUGCAAGUGAGACUGGAAAAAUGGCUCUCAGAGUUCCCGCCUCUGCAGUAGAGGAAGACACUCCAGAAGGAGUUGAGAAUGGGUGCUGAGUGCCUCUUCAGGAUGUCUGUCACACCUCAGGAAACCUGCCAGGAAUACCAAAGGGAGUGAAAAAUCCAAGGAAUACUUGUCAUUGAAAUUAGGGCCCACCUGGAUAAUCCAUGAUGAUCUCAUCUCAAGAUCCUUAACUUAAUGACAUCUGCAGAGACUGGUUUAUCAAAUAAGGGACUGUGGCUAUAUCGCUGACCUCAAGAAAACCUGCGGACAAAAUCUGCUAAAGAAGUAUCAGCAUCUAUUUCAAAAGUUAGCCAUUAUUUUAAGAAGACUGUGCUGGAAGACGGGUAUUUAACACAAACAGAUGCAAAAGAUACGGGGUUUCACCGUGUUGACCAGACUGAUUUUGAACUUCUGGGCUCAAUCAGUCCACCUGCCUCGGCCUCCCAAAGUGCUGAGAUUAUAGGUGUGAGCCCCUGCGCCUGGCCAGGGAUGCCGUUCUUCACUCUCCAGUUGGUUUCCCUCCAAGCUGGGAUUUGAACUCUCUUAUCUCCAGGGUUAGGGUUGCAGACGGAGUUGUAAGGACAGAAAGGGAAGAGGAAUACACACAUUUUUAGCUGACGGACUUGGCCCCAGCUUUGCAGGCUAACUGAAACUCCCAAGGCCUUGAGAUUUUUGAAAACUGCCAUAUUUCCUCUAGUUGAAGACUCAUUUUAUAUUUUUUCACAUGUUAACAUUUAUGAAAUUGGGAUGUGUAAUGUACGCCCUGUCAAAAAAUUUUCCAGCAGCCAUUUAGAGGAGUGACACGUCCACGUGGCCUACCUGGCCUGUGGCCACACCUCCUUAGCCAGCUUCGUGGAAGUAUCUGUUCAUCCAUUUUGUCACUUUGUUUUGUUAUUUUCAUUGGUGGCACAGCACACUGUUAACUUAGAUUCAUGUCCCUAAUUGCCACUGAAAGUGUCUUUCACAAAGAUAACUCUGCUUUACAGCAUUGGAGCAAAAGUCACCAUGCGUGCAAAAGAUUGCCUGGCACAUGCCAGGCAUUAGGCAUCGCCCCCACUGCACAGAGUAAAUGACACACUUUUCAAAGCAAGGGGAAAUUGGUAUGACUACUUCAUGCACCAUUAAAAAAAAAAACUAUUAUUCAGGCUCCAAAAUCUUUAAAAGCUUCUAGUGAUUUUCAAAAGAAGCUGCUUAAUGUUUAUCUUUAAAAUAAGGAAAAACAGAAUUAUAAGUUUGGCCAAAGAGGAAAUGCCAAUAAACCACUAGGAUUCUCUAUGAUGCCCUCAAA
rnacentral:lncRNA from 1 species